rnacentral:rRNA from 1 species
UAAGGAAUAUUGCGCAAUGGGCGACAGCCUGACGCAGCGACGCCGCGUGGGGGAUGAAGGUCUUCGGAUUGUAAACCCCUUUCGGCAGGGAAGAUGGAACGGGUAACCGUUCGGACGGUACCUGCAGAAGCAGCCACGGCUAACUUCGUGCCAGCAGCCGCGGUAAUACGAAGGUGGCAAGCGUUGUUCGGAUUUACUGGGCGUACAGGGAGCGUAGGCGGUUGGGUAAGCCCUCCGUGAAAUCUCCGGGCCUAACCCGGAAAGUGCGGAGGGGACUGCUCGGCUAGAGGAUGGGAGAGGAGCGCGGAAUUCCCGGUGUAGCGGUGAAAUGCGUAGAGAUCGGGAGGAAGGCCGGUGGCGAAGGCGGCGCUCUGGAACAUUUCUGACGCUGAGGCUCGAAAGCGUGGGGAGCAAACAGGAUUAGAUACCCCAGUAGUCCCUGAGCGGGCUGGCAAGGCGCAU